GAUGAACGCUGGCGGCGUGCCUAAUACAUGCAAGUCGAGCGAACAGACGAGGAGCUUGCUCCUCUGACGUUAGCGGCGGACGGGUGAGUAACACGUGGAUAACCUACCUAUAAGACUGGGAUAACUUCGGGAAACCGGAGCUAAUACCGGAUAAUAUAUUGAACCGCAUGGUUCAAUAGUGAAAGACGGUUUUGCUGUCACUUAUAGAUGGAUCCGCGCCGCAUUAGCUAGUUGGUAAGGUAACGGCUUACCAAGGCUACGAUGCGUAGCCGACCUGAGAGGGUGAUCGGCCACACGGGAACUGAGACACGGUCCAGACUCCUACGGGAGGCAGCAGUAGGGAAUCUUCCGCAAUGGGCGAAAGCCUGACGGAGCAACGCCGCGUGAGUGAUGAAGGUCUUCGGAUCGUAAAACUCUGUUAUUAGGGAAGAACAAAUGUGUAAGUAACUAUGCACGUCUUGACGGUACCUAAUCAGAAAGCCACGGCUAACUACGUG
rnacentral:rRNA from 1 species